rnacentral:rRNA from 1 species
UACGUAGGCAGCGAGCGUUGUUCGGAGUUACUGGGCGUAAAGGGUGUGUAGGCGGUUGUUUAAGUUUGGUGUGAAAUCUCCCGGCUCAACUGGGAGGGUGCGCCGAAUACUGAAUGACUUCGAGUGCGGGAGAGGAAAGUGGAAUUCCUGGUGUAGCGGUGAAAUGCGUAGAUAUCAGGAGGAACACCGGUGGUGUAGACGGCUUUCUGGACCGUAACUGACGCUGAGACACGAAAGCGUGGGGAUCAAACAGG